GAAGGUAUAGCUCAAGUGGUAGAGUGCAUGCUUAGAAUACACAAGGUCCUGGGUUUGACUCCCAGGUCCUGGGUUUGACUCCCAGUACUUCCU
rnacentral:tRNA from 1 species